rnacentral:lncRNA from 1 species
UGCUUUUCCUAAGGCCGCUGCUCCAUCAGUAGUUAGGUGGCAGCCAAGGCAAGACAAGCUCACUCAGAGCAGCGUGUUAGUACCUGGGGCCUGUGCAUGCCAGGGAGGCCGAGCUCACUCAAAGAGCAACCAGCCACCUCUGCAAGGGUGCGCCAGGAGCAGGUGGACCAUCCAGCAACCUCAGCUACUCAAGGAAGCUGGGAUGGCCAGGUUCCAACAGCCUGAGUGGCUGCCUCCUGAUGGCUGAUGGAGCAGAGGCCUUAGGAAAAGCAGAUGGCCCUGUGGCCCUACCUUUAGGGUAGAAGUACUGAUGUGCCAUGUCCGGUAGCAAGUGAGGUUGGUGGCUGGUGCACCGGCUCCUGGCGCACCCUUGCAGAAGUGACUGGUUGCUCUUUGAGUCAGCUUGGCCUUGCCCGGCAUGCACAAGCCUCAGUGCAACAACAGUGCUACAAAUGGAGCCAUAGAGAGGAAACGAGCAGCAGGCUCAGGAGCAGGGUGUGCGCUGCCUUUGGGGCUCCAGUCCAUGCCUCGAGUCGUAUAGCACUGCAGGCUUCUUGCUUGCCUGGAGGCAGACCACAGGCCAUCUUGAGGAAGACUUUAUGUUCAAGUACAGAAAGCGGCCAGGAUUAACAUCCAGGGGACUGGGCCUUCUGUAGCCCUGGCCAGACCUUGCAGAGGUAGCUGGUUGCUCUUUGAGCCAGCUUGGCCUCCCUGGCAUGCACAGGCCCCAGGUAGUAACGCGCUGCUCCGAGUGAGCUUGUCCUGCCUUGGCUGCCACCUAAUUGCUGAUGGAGCAGAGGCCUUAGGAAAAGCAGAUGGCACUGUGGCCCACCUUUAGGGUAGAAGAACUGAUAUCCCAUGUCCGGGCGCUAGUGGGUGUGUGGUACACCUGCUCCUGCACA